rnacentral:tRNA from 1 species
GUUCCCGUAGCUUAAAUUCUGCAAAGCGCGGUCCUGAAGUUGCCGUGAUGGAUAAACUACUUUUUCCCGGAAACA